GAAGGACUAAGAAACAACGGGCUCGCGCUGAAGUCCGUAUUGCUGGCGUUUGCACCGCAGGUUUGACCAGACAAAACGAGGCGCUCACAUCUUGCCAAGCUGGACACGUCCAAAAAGAAAGAAAGAAAGAGGAUAGCUCAAGAGGGUCGGAUUAUGGGCAGGGUUUCUGCUGUCCCUGCUGCACUGAUACACAGAAAACAACCCUAACAAAACUAACCCUAACCCUGGCCCACCAGUCCAUGCUCCUCAGUGGAAUUACUGCAUAAUGUUUGUUAAAAUUGUGUAAAUUUCUGAAAUUGUAAAACUGCCUUUCUGCAUGCCUGUCUGCUUGUCAAAUUCUUGUAAUGGUGCAUGUCUAUGUUUGUUUGUUCUUUUAUAUUGUUGAAACUCUGUUUAAUUCUAAAUACCAAUAUGAAUAAAUUAGUUUUAAACAACUGUUGUUGAUUGAAAUGCCCUGUCAAAUACAAUGAAAAUGGAUGUAAAAGACCCUGAACUGCCACUCACUGCAAUGUCAAUGUAACUCCUUGUCAUGAGUGUCUAAUUAUAAUUUUACGAGUAGCGUAUAGUAAUCAGCAAAUGUCCACGUUGCU